rnacentral:rRNA from 1 species
AGUGAACGCUGGCGGUAGGCCUAACACAUGCAAGUCGAACGGCAGCACAGUAAGAGCUUGCUCUUACGGGUGGCGAGUGGCGGACGGGUGAGGAAUACAUCGGAAUCUACUUUUUCGUGGGGGAUAACGUAGGGAAACUUACGCUCAUACCGCAUACGACCUACGGGUGAAAGCAGGGGAUCUUCGGACCUUGCGCGAUUGAAUGAGCCGAUGUCGGAUUAGCUAGUUGGCGGGGUAAAGGCCCACCAAGGCGACGAUCCGUAGCUGGUCUGAGAGGAUGAUCAGCCACACUGGAAAUGAGACACGGUCCAGGCUCCUACGGGAGGCAGCAGUGGGGAAUAUUGGACAAUGGGCGCAAGCCUGAUCCAGCCAUACCGCGUGGGUGAAGAAGGCCUUCGGGUUGUAAAGCCCUUUUGUUGGGAAAGAAAAGCAGCAGGUUAAUACCCCGCUGUUCUGACGGUACCCAAAGAAUAAGCACCGGCUAACUUCGUG